UCAUCCUUUUAUGGGUGUAGAAGUCAGUGAUUUAAUGAUGCUCUUCCUAACAGUGGUGUGCAUGGAAAGGUUUUCAUUAAAGAGCGUAUGUGGUUUGCAUUUGCAAGAUUCAACUAGCACAGACUCCAAGAAAACCUAAGUUUUUUUGUUUUUUAAAGCAGGUAAGGCCAGGCACUGUGGCUUACACAAGUAAUCCACACACUUUGGGAGGCCGAGGUGGGUGGAUCACUUGAGGUCAGGAUUUCGAGACUAGCUAGGCCACUAGCUAGCCUAACCUGGUGGCACGUGCCUGUAAUUCCAGCUACUCAGGAGGGCUGCCUCAUCUUGAACCCGGGAGGCAGAGGCUGCAGUGAGCCGAGAUCACACCACUGCACUACAGCCUGGGCGACAGAGUGAGACUCGUCUCAAAAAAAAUUAAAUAAAUAAAAAAGUGCCAUCAAGUUAGAAGUUUUAAAUUCAUGGUACAAGCAUUGCCAUAGAUGCGCCUGCAAGAAACACACAGAUGACUUUUUUUUGAGACAGGGUCUCUGUUGCACAAGCUGGAGUGUGGUGGCGCGAACAUGACUUACUGCAACCUUGAGCUCCUGGGCUCAAGAGAUCCACCUGCUUCAGACUUUCAUUUAGCUGGGACCACAGGCAUGUGCCACCAUGACCGGCUAAUUUUUUUUACUUUUCAGAGAGAGGAGGGGGAAUCUCACUUUGUUGCCAGGCUAGUCUCAAACUCCUGGGCUCAAGCAAUCCACCUGCCUCGGUGGCCAGAGUGCUAGGAUUACAGGUGUGAGUUUUUUUUUUUUUUAAAGAGACAAUCUUACCUCAUUCUGUCACCCAGAAUGGAAUGACUUUCUAAAAUUGCAGAAAGCAGAACAUAUUCCUUGCUGUUGAUAAUAUUAUAGUUGUAUCAAAGGGAAAGAGUAUUUCUCCUUAAAUAAAAUUACAAAUAAGAAAUGUAUGUUUUACUCUUACUCAUAAAAGGUAUUGUA
rnacentral:lncRNA from 1 species